ncrna:unclassified sequences FTHFS RNA
UUCGGUACUUAAGUACCGAAUACAAGCGUGCGGGGAGCUAUUCCGACAGCGAGCCGCAUAAGUCCUGUAUGCACCUGGGCCACACUAACGGCAGGGUGCCGAUUACACAAUACAAGGAG